UGGGGAAUAUUGGACAAUGGGCGUAAGCCUGAUCCAGCCAUGCCGCGUGAGUGAUGAAGGCCUUAGGGUUGUAAAGCUCUUUCGGCGGGGAAGAUAAUGACGGUACCCGCAGAAGAAGCCCCGGCUAACUUCGUGCCAGCAGCCGCGGUAAUACGAAGGGGGCUAGCGUUGCUCGGAAUCACUGGGCGUAAAGCGCACGUAGGCGGCUUACUAAGUCAGGGGUGAAAUCCUGGAGCUCAACUCCAGAACUGCCUUUGAUACUGGUGAGCUUGAGUUCGGGAGAGGUGAGUGGAACUGCGAGUGUAGAGGUGAAAUUCGUAGAUAUUCGCAAGAACACCAGUGGCGAAGGCGGCUCACUGGCCCGAUACUGACGCUGAGGUGCGAAAGCGUGGGGAGCAAACA
rnacentral:rRNA from 1 species